rnacentral:misc_RNA from 1 species
GAAAUGCGAUAAGUAGUGUGAAUUGCAGAAUUCAGUGAAUCAUCGAAUCUUUGAACGCACAUUGCGCCCUAUGGUAUUCCGUAGGGCAUGCCUGUUCGAGCGUCAUUUACACCUUCAAGCCUUGCUUGGUGUUGGGUGACUGUGGCCCCUUUGGGGCCACUCGCCUUAAAGUCAUUGGCGGCCGGUUCGUUGGCUUUGUAGCGCAGCACAAUUGCGUCCUCGAAGCCGCUGGACCAGCUCCCAGAAGCUAAUUUUAAAUGUUUGACCUCGAAUCAGGUAGUGAUACCCGCUGAACUUAAGC